GCACUACUGACGAGUCCGCAACAGAACGAAACAGCUGUCUAGUGC
rnacentral:hammerhead_ribozyme from 1 species